AUUGAACGCUGGCGGCAUGCCUUACACAUGCAAGUCGAACGGCAGCACGGGUGCUUGCACCUGGUGGCGAGUGGCGAACGGGUGAGUAAUACAUCGGAACAUGUCCUGUAGUGGGGGAUAGCCCGGCGAAAGCCGGAUUAAUACCGCAUACGAUCUACGGAUGACAGCGGGGGGCCUUCGGGCCUCGCGCUAUAGGGGUGGCCGAUGGCUGAUUAGCUAGUUGGUGGGGUAAAGGCCUACCAAGGCGACGAUCAGUAGCUGGUCUGAGAGGACGACCAGCCACACUGGGACUGAGACACGGCCCAGACUCCUACGGGAGGCAGCAGUGGGGAAUUUUGGACAAUGGGCGAAAGCCUGCUCCAGCAAUGCCGCGUGUGUGAAGAAGGCCUUCGGGUUGUAAAGCAGUUUUGUCCGGAAAGAAAUCCUUGGCCCUAAUACGGUCGGGGGAUGACGGUACCGGAAGAAUAAGCACCGGCUAACUACGU
rnacentral:rRNA from 1 species